UACAGAGGGUGCAAGCGUUGUUCGGAAUUACUGGGCGUAAAGCGCGUGUAGGUGGCUGCGUAAGUCAGAUGUGAAAGCCCUCGGCUUAACCGAGGAAGUGCAUCUGAUACUGCGUAGCUUGAGUACUGGAGGGGAUGGCGGAAUUCCCGGUGUAGAGGUGAAAUUCGUAGAUAUCGGGAGGAACACCUGUGGCGAAGGCGGCCAUCUGGACAGUCACUGACACUGAGACGCGAAAGCGUGGGUAGCAAACAGG
rnacentral:rRNA from 1 species